CUGGUUGAUCCUGCCUGAACUGAUGCGCUAAGCUCAAAGAUUAAGCCAUGCAUGUGUAAGUAGAAACGACCUAGUCGUGAAACCGCGAACGGCUCAUUACAACAGCCAUAAUCUACUUGAUCUUGACACAGUUACACGGAUAACUGGGGUAAUUCUCGAGCUAAUACGUGCGCAAAAGCCCCGACCUCAGGGGAGGGGUGCAUUUAUUCGCAGAAAACCGGCACGCUGCUUCGGUGGCGUUGGUGGUGAGACGGGAUAACUCAGCUGAUCGCAUGCCGCAAGGCUGCGACGUGUCUUUCGAGUGUCUGCCCUAUCAACCUUUGUAGGUAGUGUACCGGACUACCUUGGUGGUGACGGGUAACGGAGGAUUAGGGUUCGACUCCGGAGAAGGGGCCUGAGAAAUGGCCACUACGUCUAAGGAUGGCAGCAGGCGCGCAAAUUACCCACUCUCGGUUCGAGGAGGUAGUGACGAGAAAUAACGGGACUUCCGCUUCGUGCGGCUAGUCACUGGAAUGGGUGGAACUUAAACCCGUCCACGAGUAUCAAGCAGAGGGCAAGUCUGGU
rnacentral:rRNA from 1 species